AAGCCGAUAAGCAGUGCUCUUCCAGGGCCUCUGCAUCAGUUCCUGCCUCCAGGUUCCUGCCCUGCUUGAGUUUCUGUUCUAGCUUCCUUCGAGGAUAGCCUACAAUAUGAAAGAAUAAGCUAAAGAAACCAUUUCCUCUCCAACUCCUUUUUUUGUCAUGGAGUUAUGCUGCAGCAGUAGAAAGCCUAACUAAGACACCUUCCCUAACAACACAAACCUGGGACCAAAUAACUAAAUCCCAGAGGCAUUGAUUAAUCAAACCACCUCCAACAAGAAAAAGGCCUGGUCUGCUACAGUGGUGAACUUUUAACCUUUCCGCACAAAAUGGGGAAGCUCACUCAAGAAAGAAGAUGGGUUUAAAAAUAAAUGAAGGUGCUAAAUCUUUGAGUAAAGAUGGAGGUUGGAGCAAGGACUGAAGAGCAAGUGUUAGUGAGCUGGGUUGUGAAUGAAGCAGAUCUUGUUGGGCAGCUCCAGAGCCCUGAGGUAGCCAUCAAGGCAACAGUAUCACAUCUCUGGAGAAUACGAACAAGUUCAGACCUGACUUGCAUCUCCCAAUCCAACUCCUUCAUUAAAACAAAACUCCCCUGGGACUCUGCUGCUCAUUGAUGACACAAAUUGGUGGAUACCUGAGAUUGGCACAGACUUGAAAUAAAGGUCAGUUCUGCCAGGCACAGCUUCUCUUCCACAUGUUUUCUGUGAUAUAAUGAUGAAGAAGUUUCUGGAAAGACACAGCAUCUCUACCUGAGGCACAGGAACAGGGAGGAUAGGUUAUAUGCUGGAUGACUGAAAGGGAUUUGCCAUAUAAGGAAGUAGAAAAAGAGGACUUUCUGGAGGAGUCAUUUACUCUCAAAGUGAAGGCAGUGAAUCACUUUCCAAUGAAGAGGCUGAUCUAGAAGUCUGUAGUGUACAGUCCCUAGGAAGAAACUUGGAAGGACAGGAGAAAAGCCGCUAUCCCUGGAAAUUUUAUGUUCUACUUCUAGGACUUUUGUUUUUAUGUUGAAGACAAGAGAGAGAGAUUAAAUUAUUUAAAAUGCUUUGUGUGUAUGAGUGGGUACAUAUAUGUAGGAGUGAUAUGAUCUUCACAAAACUCUUCAUGGCCAUUAAUAGAACAAAGAUUGUGCUGGACAUUUGGAAACUAAGGGGGAAUCAAUAUAAGACUCCAAGGGAGAAAUGAGCAAUGGUCUGUCAAUAGCUGCGGUCACAGAAAACUAAAGAGAACUCCUUUCCUCCCCAUGUAAAAAGACAAGGCUGGAGCCUGUAAUCCUAGUCCUUGGAUAAAGACUUGAAGUUCAUCCUUAAUUAUAUGGAAAGUAGAAAAUCAGUCUGGGCUACUUGAGAUUUUGUCUCAAAAGACAAAAAACCAACAACAACAACAAAAAAAACCAAAACCUUCAAAGAACCCCCACCCAGAAAAACCUAAAAAAAGAUGGUUGGACUAGACAUGCAAUCACUUUCAGCGCCUAAAAUUCUCAUAUAUUCUGAACCAAUAUGAAUGACAUUCAAUUAAAUUUGGUUGGUGAAAUCCCAAA